rnacentral:lncRNA from 1 species
CGCGUCUGCCAGGGAGAGCCUGCACCUCCCACAAGGUGUCGUCUGUGCUGGCUUCUGGAGCCUUUGACCACUGCUUUCCAUCUGGGAUUCUGUGUUCACAGGGGGAACAAAAGGCCUGAGAAACACCACGUACGUGACUUGGUCUUCAUGGUCUCUUCUCUCCUGUAAUUGUAGGUGGCCUCAGGAAAGGAGUCUGUAUUCUGCAAUCACUGACUUGCUGCUGAAAAAUCCAGAUGAAAAGAAAGGCGGGGCUUUCCUGCUGGCUUCAGUCUGGAGAUCUGACUCCAGCUUCCUGCUGGCCACCAGGCAGGGGUGGUGGAAGGAGCGGUUUUUGCAGGCAGACGACUUCGAUCAUAAACUACCAAGAUACCUGGAGCGAUCAGAUGAGCCUCGGCCUACUCUUGAAGCUAAAGGAAGGCUGCUAGCAAGACUGGCAUCUGGGCUUGGCUGUGCGUGUUUUCCAUUGUGGGAAAAUAUACAUAACACAAUAUUUGUAAUUUGAACCUUUUAACCAAAGUGUGCACGCAGUGGCAUUGAAUAUAUUCACUUACACUUAAGGCACAAUGACAAGGCAGCAAAGGGCUGUUGGGUGAUUAGUUCACCACACUUGUUGCAACUGUUUGUACUGCAGAGUUAAAACAUACCAGCAUUCAACCCAUGUCUCCUCUCUUGAAAUAAACUGUCCCCUUUGCAAGGGACCUAAAUCUCCAUUUACAG